GGUUGAUCCUGCCAGUAGUCAUAUGCUUGUCCCAAAGAUUAAGCCAUGCAUGUCCAAGUAUAAAUCUUUUACUGGUGAAACUGCGAAUGGCUCAUUAUAUCAGUUAUAAUUUAUUUGAUAGUGACUUUACUACUUGGAUAACCGUGGUAAUUCUAGAGCUAAUACAUGCUAGAUGCCUGACUAACCUCUGGGAAUGGAAGGGCAGUAUUUAUUAGAUUAAAAACCAAUGCGGGAAACUGCAGGAGGUGAUUCAUAAUAACUUUGCGGAUCGCAUGGCCUUGGGCCGGCGACGG
rnacentral:rRNA from 1 species